UGCAGCUUGCACAGAAGGUAUGGGAAUGGCAUUACUGCUUUAUUCUUUGCCUUGGUCUACACAGGAAUAAAGCAAGACAAGGUCUUGCUAUGUUGCCCAGGCUGUUCUUGAACUCCUAGAUAGGAAGAAACUGGUGCCUAAGGUCACACUGAUAAUAGAUGAAGUGAUGGAGCAAGGAUUCAACUGCCAGCAGUUUGGUUCCUCAGCCUCCCCCGAUCUCAAAUGCUACCCAUGACCAUCUGUUACACCUUAGUGGGAAUCUAAAUCAUCUAAUCACUAAAUGAUGUGCCCACUGCUUCAUCUCUACUUAUACAGUGAAAGAUCAUAGAUUUUAUCAAAGGUAUUUUGAGCAUCAAAUUGGAAAUCCUGGGAAACUCCUGGGCAUGGAGGACCUCAGAUGUCACCCUGCAGCUUUCUCUGUCUGUCUCUGAGAACAGAUCUAGAGCCUUAGUGCCGUCGCCACCACAGAUGGGCUAAAUUCAAGGACUG
rnacentral:antisense_RNA from 1 species